UAGGGAAUCUUCCGCAAUGGGCGAAAGCCUGACGGAGCAACGCCGCGUGAGUGAAGAAGGAUUUCGGUUCGUAAAGCUCUGUUGUUAGGGAAGAAUGAUUGUGUAGUAACUAUACACAGUAGAGACGGUACCUAACCAGAAAGCCACGGCUAACUACGUGCCAGCAGCCGCGGUAAUACGUAGGUGGCAAGCGUUGUCCGGAAUUAUUGGGCGUAAAGCGCGCGCAGGUGGUUUAAUAAGUCUGAUGUGAAAGCCCACGGCUCAACCGUGGAGGGUCAUUGGAGACUGUUAAACUUGAGUGCAGGAGAGAAAAGUGGAAUUCCUAGUGUAGCGGUGAAAUGCGUAGAGAUUAGGAGGAACACCAGUGGCGAAGGCGGCUUUUUGGCCUGUAACUGACACUGAGGCGCGAAAGCGUGGGGAGCAAACAGGAUUAGAUACCCUGGUAGUCCACGCCGUAAACGAUGAGUGCUAAGUGUUGGUCUCAUAAGAGAUCAGUGCUGCAGCUAACGCAUUAAGCACUCCGCCUGGGGAGUACGACCGCAAGGUUG
rnacentral:rRNA from 1 species